rnacentral:rRNA from 1 species
UGGGGAAUAUUGCGCAAUGGGCGAAAGCCUGACGCAGCGACGCCGCGCGAGGGAUGAAGGUUUUCGGAUCGUAAACCUCUGUCAGAAGGGAAGAAACCGCACUGUGCUAAUCAGCAGUGCCUUGACGGUACCUUCAAAGGAAGCACCGGCUAACUCCGUGCCAGCAGCCGCGGUAAUACGGAGGGUGCAAGCGUUAAUCGGAAUUACUGGGCGUAAAGCGCACGUAGGCUGCUUUGUAAGUCAGGGGUGAAAUCCCACGGCUCAACCGUGGAACUGCCUUUGAUACUGGUUAGCUUGAAUCCGGGAGAGGGUGGCGGAAUUCCAGGUGUAGGAGUGAAAUCCGUAGAUAUCUGGAGGAACAUCAGUGGCGAAGGCGGCCACCUGGACCGGUAUUGACGCUGAGGUGCGAAAGCGUGGGGAGCAAACAGG